AUUGAACGCUGGCGGCAGGCCUAACACAUGCAAGUCGAACGAGUGGCGGACGGGUGAGUAAUGUCUGGGAAACUGCCUGAUGGAGGGGGAUAACUACUGGAAACGGUAGCUAAUACCGCAUACCAUCAGAUGUGCCCAGAUGGGAUUAGCUAGUGGGUGGGGUAACGGCUCACCAAGGCGACGAUCCCUAGCUGGUCUGAGAGGAUGACCAGCCACACUGGAAUGGGGAAACGGUCCAGACUCCUACGGGAGGCAGCAGUGGGGAAUAUUGCACAAUGGGCGCAAGCCUGAUGCAGCCAGGCCGCGGGUAUGAAGAAGGCCGUCGGGUUGUAAAGUACGUUCAGCGGGGAGGCGUUACCCGAAGAAGAAGCACCGGCUAACUCCGUGCCAGCAGCCGCGGUAAUAC
rnacentral:rRNA from 1 species